rnacentral:rRNA from 1 species
UCUGCCCUGCACUCUGGGACAAGCCCUGGAAACGGGGUCUAAUACCGGAUAUGACUCGGGAGGGCAUCCUUCCGGGUGGAAAGCUCCGGCGGUGCAGGAUGAGCCCGCGGCCUAUCAGCUUGUUGGUGGGGUGAUGGCCUACCAAGGCGACGACGGGUAGCCGGCCUGAGAGGGCGACCGGCCACACUGGGACUGAGACACGGCCCAGACUCCUACGGGAGGCAGCAGUGGGGAAUAUUGCACAAUGGGCGAAAGCCUGAUGCAGCGACGCCGCGUGAGGGAUGACGGCCUUCGGGUUGUAAACCUCUUUCAGCAGGGAAGAAGCGCAAGUGACGGUACCUGCAGAAGAAGCGCCGGCUAACUACGUGCCAGCAGCCGCGGUAAUACGUAGGGCGCAAGCGUUGUCCGGAAUUAUUGGGCGUAAAGAGCUCGUAGGCGGCUUGUCGCGUCGGAUGUGAAAGCUCGGGGCUUAACCCCGGGUCUGCAUUCGAUACGGGCAGGCUAGAGUG